GACGAACGCUGGCGGCGUGCCUAAUACAUGCAAGUUGAGCGAUGAAGAUUGGUGCUUGCCCCAAUUUGAAGAGCAGCGAACGGGUGAGUAACGCGUGGGGAAUCUGCCUUUGAGCGGGGGACAACAUUUGGAAACGAAUGCUAAUACCGCAUAAUAACUUUAAACAUAAGUUUUAAGUUUGAAAGAUGCAAUUGCAUCACUCAAAGAUGAUCCCGCGUUGUAUUAGCUAGUUGGUGAGGUAAAGGCUCACCAAGGCGAUGAUACAUAGCCGACCUGAGAGGGUGGUCGGCCACAUUGGGACUGAGACACGGCCCAAACUCCUACGGGAGGCAGCAGUAGGGAAUCUUCGGCAAUGGACGAAAGUCUGACCGAGCAACGCCGCGUGAGUGAAGAAGGUCUUCGGAUCGUAAAACUCUGUUGGUAGAGAAGAACGUUGGUGAGAGUGGAAAGCUCAUCAAGUGACGGUAACUACCCAGAAAGGGACGGCUAACUACGUG
rnacentral:rRNA from 1 species